rnacentral:misc_RNA from 1 species
GAUGAAGAACGCAGCGAAAUGCGAUAAGUAGUGUGAAUUGCAGAAUUCAGUGAAUCAUCGAAUCUUUGAACGCACAUUGCGCCCGCCAGUAUUCUGGCGGGCAUGCCUGUUCGAGCGUCAUUUCAACCAUCAAGCCCCCGGCUUGUGUUGGGGACCUGCGGCUGCCGCAGGCCCUGAAAACCAGUGGCGGGCUCGCUAGUCACUCCGAGCGUAGUAAUACAUCUCGCUCAGGGCGUGCUGCGGGUUCCGGCCGUUAAAAAAGCCUUAUUUACCCAAGGUUGACCUCGGAUCAGGUAGGAAGACCCGCUGAACUUAAGCAUAUCAAUAAGCGGAGGA